UGCACCAAGGAAGAAGGGAGCAGCUGCAUCUGGAGAGACUGUACAUGGGAAUCGUCAUCAUCUUGGUCAAGCUCUUCUGGAAGAAACCAGAGCAGCGUUACAAGUAUGAACCCAUCCAGGAUGAUCUUGAACUUGGAAGCUCCAAUUUCCCUGUGGUUCUCAUCUAGAUUCCAAUGUUCAAUGAGAAAGUGGUCUUCUUAAUUUGCUUGCAUUUGCUUAUCUCUAGUCUCUAUUUUCCUCUGCCUCCUCUUUUUUAUUUCUGUGAAAAUUGGUUGGUUUUUUUGUGUUCUUUUUCUAUGUAUAUAUAGGUAUACAAGGUGUCAAUUGGUGCAGCUUGUAAUCUUUCGUGGCUUGCUGAUCGUCUUGUCAUCCAAGUUCUUGACGAUUCUACUGAGCCUGCAAUCAAAGUAGUCUUAUUAUUGGUCAAUGUGACUCUCUGGUUUGAGUGGGGCAAGAUCCAGACGCCUACGGAUGAAGUUGUUGUGCCUUAUGAUAGUCUAGCUCCAACUCCUGAAGGUGUGUGACAGGUGAAAGGAUGCACUUCAGCUUUGCUGCAAUUUGCAAAGACAACAGACAUCCCCGUUCUUUUGG